AUGGUCAAGCUCGCCGCCCUCGCCUUGCUCGCGUUGCUGGGGUCCGUGGCGUGUCAAGGUGACAAUGGCUCACCUGCGGAGUCACCGGCGUAUUCUCCAAGCUCGGCCCCGGCGAGCUUGAAGACAAUCAGUUACCCUCCGGCUGCGAGCCCCAGCCAGCCCAUGCCGAGCCCAGUUGUGUUGAGCCCGAGCCCGCUCGCUCAGCCUCCUAGUCCUAGCAUCGACCUAGGCGCACCGAGCCAAAGCCCGCCGGUAUAUCCACCGAGUGUGAGCCAACCCGCUCUUCCUCCGUCUGGUUCUUCCAGUGCCACGAGCGCAAGCUCACCGGAGUACCUUCCUAGCCCUAGCCCAAGCGUGUCUACUCAAACCCCACCCACAUAUUCACCUGACCCAAGUCCACCUACUAAUUCAACUAGCCCAAGCCCUUCGAGCCCAAGCACAAUUGCUUAUCCACCGAGCCCAAGCCCUAGCCAAUCCACAUAUCCUCCUAGCCCAAGCCCGAUCAAUACAAGACAACCCAAUCCUCCCAGCCCAGAUCCAGCAUCUUAUAUUCCAAGCCCUAGCCCUAGCCCUAGCCCAAGCCCGGAUAGCCCUGCUCCAGCCCCUUAUCCUCCUAUCUCAAACUCACCCAGCCCUGGGCUCAGUGUCGGUCACUACAGCUACUCCUGCCCAAAUGCGGAGGCUAUUGUCAGGGAUGCCGUGAAGAACGCCACGGAGAAGAAUCGCGGCACCGGCGCCGGGCUCAUCCGCCUCUUCUUCCACGACUGCUUCGUGCGGGGGUGUGAUGCUUCUGUUCUCCUCAACACGACCGGCUCCGGCGAACCCACAGAGUUGAAGGGCCCGCCGAACCUGACCCUCCGCGGCUUCGAGGUCAUCGACGCGGCAAAGGCAGCGCUCGAGGAGGCCUGCCCCGGCGUUGUCUCGUGCGCGGACGUCCUCGCUUUCGCCGGCCGCGACGCCACCUUCUUCCUCACCAACCGCACGGCCGCCUACUUCCCCAUGCCGGCCGGCCGCUACGACGGGCGCGUGUCUUUCGCCAACGAGACCACCCUCAACCUGCCGUCGCCCUCCUCAGGCCUCCAGCAGCUCAACCAUAGCUUCCACGCCAAGGGGCUGAGUCUCGAGGACAUGGUCACCCUUUCCGGCGCGCACUCCGUCGGCCGCUCCAGCUGCUCGUCCUUCCACGGCCGCCUCUCCCCCAACUCCUCCGACAUGGACCCCGAGUUCGCGAGCUCCCUGCGGAAGCAAUGCAGCAGCAGCGACCCCACGGCGAUGCAGGACUUCAAGACCCCCGACGACCUGGACCGGCAGUACUACCAGAACGCCGUGGACCACAAGGUGCUGUUCACCUCCGACGCGGCGCUCAUGGCGUCGAACGAGACGGCGAGGAUGGUGCUCGAUAACGCGCAUGUCAGUGGGUUGUGGGAGAAGAAGUUUGCGGCGGCGAUGGUAAAGAUGGGCGGCGUCGGGGUCAAGACCAGCGCCGACGGCGAGAUCAGGAAGAAAUGCUGGAUCAUCAACAAAGUGUGA
rnacentral:rRNA from 1 species